GAUGAACGCUGGCGGCGUGCUUAACACAUGCAAGUCGAACGGAAAGGCCCAAGCUUGCUUGGGUACUCGAGUGGCGAACGGGUGAGUAACACGUGGGUGAUCUGCCCUGCACUUCGGGAUAAGCCUGGGAAACUGGGUCUAAUACCGGAUAGGACCACAUUUUGGAUGGUGUGGUGGAAAGUGUUUCGGUGUGGGAUGAGCUCGCGGCCUAUCAGCUUGUUGGUGGGGUAAUGGCCUACCAAGGCGUCGACGGGUAGCCGGCCUGAGAGGGUGUACGGCGACAUUGGGACUGAGAUACGGCCCAGACUCCUACGGGAGGCAGCAGUGGGGAAUAUUGCACAAUGGGCGCAAGCCUGAUGCAGCGACGCCGCGUGGGGGAUGACGGCCUUCGGGUUGUAAACUCCUUUCGCUAGGGACGAAGCGUUUUUGUGACGGUACCUGGAGAAGAAGCACCGGCUAACUACGUG
rnacentral:rRNA from 1 species